ensembl:lncRNA
CUGGAAGGCACACAGUAUGGAGCUCUCUCCUCUUGGCCUGCUGUUCGUGCUGAGCUUGUAUUCCCACUCUGGACAUGCUGAAGAGACUCCCAAAGCUGUUCUGGUACUGGAUCCUGACCAAACACAGUUCUACAGUGGAGAGACUGUCACUCUCAGAUGCAGCAGAGAGGGGCAGAACCCCUCAGGAUGGUGGUACACCUGGCAAAGAGGUAGUCGGCAGGUUCACCCACAUGACACCUGGACUAAGAGUGAUGCAUAUAAGAUACACCCUCUGGAUGAGUCCCAUAGUGGUACCUACAGCUGCACCGGUAUUGACGGCAGUACCGCGACCACAAGUGAGACUAAAACACUGAACGUAUCUGAACCACCUGACUACACCUGUGCUGGUGUAAAAAAUGGUAAAGAUGUCCAGAUUGAGACUGUAAAACUGCACAUAUCUG